rnacentral:lncRNA from 1 species
UUUUGGUAUAAAAAUAAAAAUAAAUAAAAAUAGUGUGAGAAACUAUUUUUAUUGAAUUUAGAGAAGUAAAACAUAAGUCAGAAGUGACUUGUGCUGAAAUCGGAAUAAAAACAGAAGAUUUAGAAUUUUCUGUUGGAAACGAGACAGAUAAAUUAGCAAAAAAUGCACAAUCUCAUAAAAUUAUGAAAAUUGGAGGAUAAGUCAGAAAUAUUUUUAUGAGGCUAGAUUUAAAGUUUCAUAUUAUUCUGACACCCGUAGAGUGAGAAAUAAAAUCCGAGAGUUAUCUAAUAAAGAUUACAGUUCGGUACAGU